UGCCUGGUAGUCCAAUGGUUAGGACUCGGCACUGUCACUGCCGGGUCCCGGGUUCAAUCCCUGGUCGGGGAA